GCCUGAGCCAUCGCCGGGAACACCUCGCGACCCCACAGCUGGCCUCGUGCCCUCUGCCUGGGAAUGACACAUCACAGCUCCCACGAGCGGACUCUACCCCAGAAAGGACUGCUACGAGCUACGCCUCCCUGUGACACUCGAGCAACAGAAAGCGCCAUCACUCCAGCUGAGAGCAGUGACGUCACCGCGCGGCGGCUGAGUGAUAGCUGGAGGCUCGCGACUCCCUGCAGCUGAUAACAGUUCAGCGACCUGCCGGGCGAACCUGCUCGCCUUAUCUCGCACCUGGCGGACCAGCCGCACAACUCCCGAGCAGCGAGGCAUUG